rnacentral:rRNA from 1 species
AACGAACGCUGGCGGCAUGCCUAACACAUGCAAGUCGAACGAGACCUUCGGGUCUAGUGGCGCACGGGUGCGUAACGCGUGGGAACCUGCCCUUAGGUUCGGAAUAACUCCCCGAAAGGGGUGCUAAUACCGGAUAAUGUCUUCGGACCAAAGAUUUAUCGCCUUUGGAUGGGCCCGCGUUGGAUAGCUAGUUGGUAGGGUAAAAGCCUACCAAGGCGACGAUCCAUAGCUGGUCUGAGAGGAUGAUCAGCCACACUGGGACUGAGACACGGCCCAGAAUACUACGGGAGGGAGCAGUGGGGAAUAUUGGAAAAUGGGCGAAAGCCUGAUCCAGCAAUGCCGCGUGAGUGAUGAAGGCCUUAGGGUUGUAAAGCUCUUUUAACCGGGAUGAUAAUGACAGUACCGGGAGAAUAAGCUCCGGCUAACUCCGUG